rnacentral:rRNA from 1 species
UACAGAGGUCCCAAGCGUUGUUCGGAUUCACUGGGCGUAAAGGGUGCGUAGGUGGUUAGGUAAGUCCGAUGUGAAAUCUCCAGGCUCAACCUGGAAAUGGCAUUGGAUACUAUCUAGCUUGAGGAGUGGAGGGGGGACUGGAAUUCUCGGUGUAGCAGUGAAAUGCGUAGAUAUCGAGAGGAACACCAGUGGCGAAGGCGAGUCCCUGGACACUUCCUGACACUGAGGCACGAAAGCUAGGGGAGCAAACGGG